rnacentral:rRNA from 1 species
UACGAAGGGGGCGAGCGUUAUUCGGAAUCACUGGGCGUAAAGCGUGCGUAGGCUGCUUGGAAAGUUGGAAGUGAAAGCCCAGGGCUCAACCCUGGAAUUGCUUUCAAAACUACCAGGCUAGGAUUUGGGAGAGGAUAGCGGAAUUGUCAGUGUAGCAGUGAAAUGCGUAGAUAUUGACAGGAACACCAGUGGCGCAAGCGGCUAUCUGGACCAACAUCGACGCUGAGGCACGAAAGCGUGGGGAUCAAACAGG